AGUAAGGGAUAGGAAACGAACCCACAGUGUUCUGCUUACCGGGUAGAUGCCAUGUCCACUAGGCUACCCUGGAC
rnacentral:tRNA from 1 species